UAUUCCAAGUUGCUUUUUGACUGUGCCUA
rnacentral:piRNA from 1 species